rnacentral:rRNA from 1 species
UACGAAGGGGGCUAGCGUUGCUCGGAAUCACUGGGCGUAAAGGGUGCGUAGGCGGGUCUUUAAGUCAGGGGUGAAAUCCUGGAGCUCAACUCCAGAACUGCCUUUGAUACUGAAGAUCUUGAGUUCGGGAGAGGUGAGUGGAACUGCGAGUGUAGAGGUGAAAUUCGUAGAUAUUCGCAAGAACACCAGUGGCGAAGGCGGCUCACUGGCCCGAUACUGACGCUAAUGCACGAAAGCUAGGGGAGCAAACAGG